rnacentral:rRNA from 1 species
AAACUGAGGAUAAUACCGGAUAGGCAAUUAUUCCUGGAAUGGUUUUUUGUUUAAAUGUUUUUUCGCCUAAGGAUGGGUCUGCGGCCGAUUAGGUAGUUGGUUAGGUAACGGCUUACCAAGCCAUUGAUCGGUACGGGUUGUGAGAGCAAGAGCCCGGAGAUGGAACCUGAGACAAGGUUCCAGGCCCUACGGGGUGCAGCAGGCGCGAAACCUCCGCAAUGUGAGAAAUCGCGACGGGGGGAUCCCGAGUGCCAUUCUUAACGGGAUGGCUUUUCAUUAGUGUAAAGAGCUUUUGGAAUAAGGGCUGGGCAAGACCGGUGCCAGCCGCCGCGGUAACACCGGCAGCUCUAGUGGUAGCAGUUUUUAUUGGGCCUAAAGCGUCCGUAGCCGGUUUAAUAAGUCUCUGGUGAAAUCCUGUAGCUUAACUGUGGGAAUUGCUGGAGAUACUAUUAGACUUGAGACCGGGAGAGGUUAGAGGUACUCCCAGGGUAGAGGUGAAAUUCUGUAAUCCUGGGAGGACCGCCUGUUGCGAAGGCGUCUAACUGGAACGGUUCUGACGGUGAGGGACGAAAGUUAGGGGCGCGAACCGGAUUAGAUACCCGGGUAGUCCUAACCGUAAACGAUGCGGACUUGGUGUUGGGGUGGCUUUGAGCUGCUCCAGUGCCGAAGGGAAGCUGUUAAGUCCGCCGCCUGGGAAGUACGGUCGCAAGACUGAAACUUAA